CACGUAGGCGGCUCUUUAAGUCGGGGGUGAAAUCCUGGAGCUCAACUCCAGAACUGCCUUCGAUACUGUAGAGCUUGAGUUCGGGAGAGGUGAGUGGAACUGCGAGUGUAGAGGUGAAAUUCGUAGAUAUUCGCAAGAACACCAGUGGCGAAGGCGGCUCACUGGCCCGAUACUGACGCUGAGGUGCGAAAGCGUGGGGAGCAAACA
rnacentral:rRNA from 1 species